UACGUAGGCAGCGAGCGUUGUUCGGAGUUACUGGGCGUAAAGGGUGUGUAGGCGGUUGUUUAAGUUUGGUGUGAAAUCUCCCGGCUCAACUGGGAGGGUGCGCCGAAUACUGAAUGACUUGGAGUGCGGGAGAGGAGAGUGGAAUUCCUGGUGUAGCGGUGAAAUGCGUAGAUAUCAGGAGGAACACCGGCGGUGUAGACGGCUUUCUGGACCGUAGCUGACGCUGAGACACGAAAGCGUGGGGAUCAAACAGG
rnacentral:rRNA from 1 species